AUACUUACCUGGACGGGGUCAAUGAGCGAUCAUAAAGGCCCAUGGCCUAGGUUGGUGGCCUUCAUUGCACAUGGGAGGUGCACCCGCCUAAGGUCAACCUAAAGUGGUUGAGCCUACGUCAUAAUUUGUGACAGUGGGGACCUGCGUUUGCGCGGCCCCCUC
rnacentral:snRNA from 1 species